UACAGAGGGGGCAAGCGUUAUUCGGAAUUAUUGGGCGUAAAGGGCGCGUAGGCGGUUUCUUAAGUGAGAUGUGUAAUCCCCGGGCUUAACCUGGGAACUGCAUCUCAUACUGGGAGGCUAGAGUACUGGAGAGGGUGGUAGAAUUCCACGUGUAGCGGUGAAAUGCGUAGAGAUGUGGAGGAAUACCAGUGGCGAAGGCGGCCACCUGGACAGUAACUGACGCUGAGGCGCGAAAGUGUGGGGAGCAAACAGGAUUAGAUACCCUGGUAGUCCACGCUGUAAACGAUGAACACUUGGUGUGGCGGGAGUUGACCCCUGCCGUGCCGGAGCUAACGCGAUAAGUGUUCCGCCUGGGGAGUACGGUCGCAAGGCUGAA
rnacentral:rRNA from 1 species